CCCAUGUAAUUAUCCCUCCAUAAAAUACAACAAAAACAACCCUUAACAAAUUUUACCUUAUUUUAAUCCUAUCCUAACAAUCUCUCCAAUUAAAAGAGGACACCUCACAUCUCACCUACCUACCCCUACCCCCUCACCCGUUCACGUGUCCCUCCUACCCCUACCUUUCUCACGGCCUUUUAAACUAAUUCACAAAAAAACAAAAAAAAAAAGAAUAUUAUAAAUACACUAAAAAAGGAACUUUCCAGGGAAGGAUCCUUUUCCAAUAUAGUAUACAGAGGAGAACCCAUUUUGAGGAGGGGACGAAUAGAGAAAACAUUUUUGGCUUCUUUUUCUUUCUUCUUUGUAAAAGCACAUACACAGAGACGCCAUUAAAGGGAUGAUCUUCCCUCUUCUUUUUUUGUUCUUCGCACAUUCUCACGGAAUACCACACACAUACACUCACUCGCAAUAUACACCUACAUAGGAAGAGGAAAUCAAUAAAAUGAAGAGGGAUUGAAGGAGGGAGAUCGGGAAAGGGAUAAGAACGUGAAUCCACCGGUUUGACUGUUUUCCGGUGAAACUUUUACCGAAAUAAGUUUAUAGGUCACCCUUUUGAUCGAUUCAAGCCUAAGGUACUUAAAUCUCUUUGUUUUCCAUCGAUUUCAAAGCAAACCCAGCCAGAAAACUUUAACAUUCACUGGAAUCCCUUUUGAUUUGUCAUUUCUGCUUCCGUUUAAGCACACCGGAGCUCAGGCUAAUCAUUUUUGGUUUGCGGUUGUGAUUGGGUUUUGGGUUCGUGAUUCUCGCAGUUCAUUUUGAUAUUGGGUUUUUGAGGUCUACGCAUUUAAGUCAUAUCAACGUUCGUGAUUUGGUUUGCCCAUUAAGAGUUGUCUCACUGGUUUUUGAAAUUGAUUGGUUAAUAUUGCCUUGAUACCAAGUUGGAUUGUGAAGCUGCUGAGGUUUUCGAUUGGAAAUUCUAAAUCCGGGGCUUCUUUAAUAUUUCUAUCAACCGAAAUUGAUUAUCGAAAGUGUUCGGUGUCCGUUAUCUUUAUUGACGGGGAUUAAUCCGGAUCACAUAUUGCGGGGCCUAUUUUGAAGAUAGUGCUCCCUACAAGAUUUUCUCCUUACCCAGGACUCAAAUCCGAGAUCUCUGAUUAAAGGUGAAGUAAUCCCACCACUGCACCACUACCCAUGUUGGUGAGUUUAUCCUUAUAUUUGUUUAAUUAGUGGUAUACAUUUAACGAAGAAUGCAUAUGUAUUAAUUAGUUUAUCUAGUUAGAGGAAGGAUAAUAUCAUGUAUAGUUUAGUUUUUGGAGAACUUGUAUUCAACUAUUGUGUAGCUAAGCAUCCAUCCUGCAUAUACUGAGGAUGAGACAAGAGAGAGUUAUGCAGAAGGUGAGCACUCUUCAUUUUUGUUAAGAGUCUCAUAUCGAAAAAAAAUAAAUAGGUUAUUGGUCUCCUUAUAUGUAUGUAGACAAUCUCCCCUCAUGAGCUAGUCUUUUGGAUUAAGUUAGAUUCAAAAUAUAUUCUUUACAUGA